GACGAACGCUGGCGGCGUGCCUAAUACAUGCAAGUAGAACGCUGAAGACUUUAGCUUGCUAAAGUUGGAAGAGUUGCGAACGGGUGAGUAACGCGUAGGUAACCUGCCUACUAGCGGGGGAUAACUAUUGGAAACGAUAGCUAAUACCGCAUAACAGCAUUUAACCCAUGUUAGAUGCUUGAAAGGAGCAAUUGCUUCACUAGUAGAUGGACCUGCGUUGUAUUAGCUAGUUGGUGAGGUAACGGCUCACCAAGGCGACGAUACAUAGCCGACCUGAGAGGGUGAUCGGCCACACUGGGACUGAGACACGGCCCAGACUCCUACGGGAGGCAGCAGUAGGGAAUCUUCGGCAAUGGGGGCAACCCUGACCGAGCAACGCCGCGUGAGUGAAGAAGGUUUUCGGAUCGUAAAGCUCUGUUGUAAGAGAAGAACGUGUGUGAGAGUGGAAAGUUCACACAGUGACGGUAACUUACCAGAAAGGGACGGCUAACUACGUG
rnacentral:rRNA from 1 species